rnacentral:rRNA from 1 species
AGUGAACGCUGGCGGUAGGCCUAACACAUGCAAGUCGAACGGCAGCACAGUAAGAGUUUGCUCUUACCGGUGGCGAGUGGCGGACGGGUGAGAUAUCCAUCGGACUCUACUUUUUCGGGGGGGAUCUCGUAGGGACACUUACGCUAAUACCGCAUACGCCCUACGGCAGAAAGCAGGGGAUCUUCGGACCUUUCGCGAUUGAAUGCGCCGAUGUCGGAUUAGCUAGUUGGCGGGGUAAAGGCCCACCAAGGCGACGCUCCGUAGCUGGUCUGAGAGGAUGAUCAGCCACACUGGAACUGAGACACGGUCCAGACUCCUACGGGAGGCAGCAGUGGGGAAUAUUGGACAAUGGGCGCAAGCCUGAUCCAGCCAUACCGCGUGUGUGAAGAAGGCCUUCGGGUUGUAAAGCCCUUUUGUUGGGAAAGAAAAGCAGCAGGUUAAUACCCCGCUGUUCUGACGGUACCCAAAGAAUAAGCACCGGCUAACUUCGUG